rnacentral:rRNA from 1 species
CAUGCCGCGUGUGUGAUGAAGGUCUUAGGAUCGUAAAGCACUUUCGCCAGGGAUGAUAAUGACAGUACCUGGUAAAGAAACCCCGGCUAACUCCGUGCCAGCAGCCGCGGUAAUACGGAGGGGGUUAGCGUUGUUCGGAAUUACUGGGCGUAAAGCGUACGUAGGCGGAUCAGAAAGUUGGGGGUGAAAUCCCGGGGCUCAACCCCGGAACUGCCUCCAAAACUCCUGGUCUUGAGUUCGAGAGAGGUGAGUGGAAUUCCAAGUGUAGAGGUGAAAUUCGUAGAUAUUUGGAGGAACACCAGUGGCGAAGGCGGCUCACUGGCUCGAUACUGACGCUGAGGUACGAAAGUGUGGGGAGCAAACAGGAUUAGAUACCCUGGUAGUCCACACCGUAAACGAUGAAUGCCAGUCGUCGGGCAGUAUACUGUUCGGUGACACACCUAACGGAUUAAGCAUUCCGCCUGGGGAGUACGGUCGCAAGAUUAAAACU